rnacentral:rRNA from 1 species
UACGAAGGGGGCUAGCGUUGCUCGGAAUCACUGGGCGUAAAGGGUGCGUAGGCGGGUCUUUAAGUCAGGGGUGAAAUCCUGGAGCUCAACUCCAGAACUGCCUUUGAUACUGAAGAUCUUGAGUUCGGGAGAGGUGAGUGGAACUGCGAGUGUAGAGGUGAAAUGCUUAGAUAUAAGGAAGAACAUCAAUGGCGAAGGCAGUUAACUAUUCUGUUUCUGACAUUGAGGCACGAAAGCGUGGGGAGCAAAACGG